rnacentral:rRNA from 1 species
GAUGAACGCUGGCGGCGUGCCUAAUACAUGCAAGUCGAGCGAACGGACGAGAAGCUUGCUUCUCUGAUGUUAGCGGCGGACGGGUGAGUAACACGUGGAUAACCUACCUAUAAGACUGGGAUAACUUCGGGAAACCGGAGCUAAUACCGGAUAAUAUUUUGAACCGCAUGGUUCAAAAGUGAAAGACGGUCUUGCUGUCACUUAUAGAUGGAUCCGCGCUGCAUUAGCUAGUUGGUAAGGUAACGGCUUACCAAGGCAACGAUGCAUAGCCGACCUGAGAGGGUGAUCGGCCGCACUGGAACUGGGACACGGUCCAGACUCCUACGGGAGGCAGCAGUAGGGAAUCUUACGCAAUGGGCGAAAGCCUGACGGAGCAACGCCGCGUGAGUGAUGAAGGUCUUCGGAUCGUAAAACUCUGUUAUUAGGGAAGAACAUAUGUGUAAGUAACUGUGCACAUCUUGACGGUACCUAAUCAGAAAGCCACGGCUAACUACGUG